AGUGAACGCUGGCGGUAGGCCUAACACAUGCAAGUCGAACGGCAGCACAGUAAGAGCUUGCUCUUACGGGUGGCGAGUGGCGGACGGGUGAGGAAUACAUCGGAAUCUACUUUUUCGUGGGGGAUAACGUAGGGAAACUUACGCUAAUACCGCAUACGACCUACGGGUGAAAGCAGGGGAUCUUCGGACCUUGCGCGAUUGAAUGAGCCGAUGUCGGAUUAGCUAGUUGGCGGGGUAAAGGCCCACCAAGGCGACGAUCCGUAGCUGGUCCGAGAGGAUGAUCAGCCACACUGGAACUGAGACACGGUCCGGACUCCUACGGGAGGCAGCAGUGGGGAAUAUUGGACAAUGGGCGCAAGCCUGAUCCAGCCAUACCGCGUGGGUGAAGAAGGCCUUCGGGUUGUAAAGCCCUUUUGUUGGGAAAGAAAAGCAGCAGGUUAAUACCCCGCUGUUCUGACGGUACCCAAAGAAUAAGCACCGGCUAACUUCGUG
rnacentral:rRNA from 1 species